rnacentral:rRNA from 1 species
AGAGUUUGAUCCUGGCUCAGGAUGAACGAAACGGAAGGGUUAACACAUGCAAGUCGAGGGGUAACAGGGUGCUUGCACCGCUGACGACCGGCGCACGGGUGAGUAACGCGUAUGCAACCUACCUUUUACAGGGGGAUAGCCAGAAGAAAUUCUGAUUAAUACCCCAUAAUAUUAUAGAGUAUCAUUAUUUUAUAAUUAAAGUUUCGGCGGUAAAAGAUGGGCAUGCGUUUUAUUAGUUAGUUGGUAAGGUAACGGCUUACCAAGACUACGAUAAAUAGGGGUCCUGAGAGGGAGAUCCCCCACACUGGUACUGAGACACGGACCAGACUCCUACGGGAGGCAGCAGUGAGGAAUAUUGGACAAUGGAGGCGACUCUGAUCCAGCCAUGCCGCGUGCAGGAAGACGGCCCUAUGGGUUGUAAACUGCUUUUAUACAGGAAGAAACCUUUUCACGUGUGGAAAGCUGACGGUACUGUAAGAAUAAGCACCGGCUAACUCCGUGCCAGCAGCCGCGGUAAUACGGAGGGUGCAAGCGUUGUUCGGAAUUACUGGGCGUAAAGGGCGUGUAGGCGGCUUCGACAGUCAGGCGUGAAAGCCCCGGGCUUAACCUGGGAAUUGCGUUUGAUACAUCGAGGCUAGAGUUCGGGAGAGGAGAGUGGAAUUCCCAGUGUAGAGGUGAAAUUCGUAGAUAUUGGGAAGAACACCAGUGGCGAAGGCGGCUCUCUGGACCGAUACUGACGCUAAGGCGCGAAAGCGUGGGGAGCAAACAGGAUUAGAUACCCUGGUAGUCCACGCCGUAAACGAUUGUGUGCUAGACGUUGGGGUUAUGCCUUCAGUGUCGCAGCUUAACGCAUUAAGCACACCGCCUGGGGAGUACGGGCCGCAAGGUUAAAACUUCAAGGAAUUGACGGGGGCCCGCACAAGCGGU